UACAGAGGGUGCAAGCGUUGCUCGGAAUUAUUGGGCGUAAAGGGUAGGUAGGUGGUCUUAUUUGUCGGGGGUGAAAGCCUUGGGCUUAACCUAAGAAGUGCCCCCGAAACGGUGAGACUUGAGUCCUGGAGAGGGUCGUGGAAUUCCCGGUGUAGCGGUGAAAUGCGUAGAGAUCGGGAGGAACACCAGAGGCGAAGGCGGCGACCUGGACAGGCACUGACACUCAACUACGAAAGCGUGGGGAGCAAACAGG
rnacentral:rRNA from 1 species